GGAAAACUUCGGACAACAAUUCAUCUCAAGAAAUGGACCCGUAAGUUGGCCACCAAGAUCAUGCGAUUUAACGCCUUUAGACUAUUUUUUGUGGGGCUACGUCAAGUCUAAAGUCUACAGAAAUAAGCCAGCAACUAUUCCAACUUUGGAAGACAACAUUUCCGAAGAAAUUCGGGCUAUUCCGGCCGAAAUGCUCGAAAAAGUUGCCCAAAAUUGGACUUUCCGAAUGGACCACCUAAGACGCAGCCGCGGUCAACAUUUAAAUGAAAUUAUCUUCAAAAAGUAAAUGUCAUGAACCAAUCUAACGUUUCAAAUAAAGAACCGAUGAGAUUUUGCAAAUUUUAUGCGUUUUUUUUUUAAAAAAAGUUAUCAAGCUCUUAAAAAAUCACCCUUUAUAUUGUACCGGACCGUUUUUUUUAUGUGGUUCUUCAACAGUUACUCUACGAUGCAGCAAAUAUUUCAAAUUAUAUAUUGGAUGUGUUUCAUUGUUUUUAAGUUUAUUUGGUUUCUAUUAAAUAUAUUUACUACUGUUGUAAUAGCAAAACCGCAUUCUUCCAAUGUUUCUUGAACUUCACUAGGGUCUACGGCGGACUCUAUACCCUUAAUUACGAUAACUAAGCCCUAAGAGCUCUUCAAUUGAUACGAAUAAUAGUUUUUGUUUUUAUUUGACAAAAAUUUAACGAUUUCCAUAGAUAGAUAGAUAUGUUAUUUGAGGUAAUGCACCACGACGACGGAAUUUUUCACGGGGGAAAUGAAUUAGUUCCUUAAGCCUGGAGAGAUUGUACUCUCCUAGAAGCAGCUUGGCGUGGCGCAUACUUGCUGCCUGCCGCCUGUGACGUUCUCUCUCCACUCUCUCCUCCGUGCGGAGCAGCUCCUUAAGAGUGUGGGGUCCUACCGCUAUGCAUGGCUCUGGUCUCAACAUCUUGGACGCUGCCGCAUCGCGGGCCAGUUCGUCGGCCUUCUCAUUUCCUUUUACUCCUUUGUGCCCUGGCACCUACAUUAGGUGGACCCGGUUGCACAAGGACAGGCGGUUUAGCCUUUCUAUGCAUUCCUCGACUAAGAACGAUUUGGUCCCAUAUGAUAAGAUCGCUUUUAGUGCCGCUUGACUAUCAUUGAGAAUAGCUAUGUGCUGGUUGCGAUAGUUGCGGCUGAGGUUGACUUCAGCGCACUGACAAAUGGCAAAAACUUCAGCCUGGAAGAUACUUGGGAAGCAAUACCUGUCCCAGACCCAAAUUAGACCUUUUUAUUUUAUAUUAUUGUAUAUGUAUACUAGCUGACCCGGCAAACUUCGUUCUGCCCAAAAUAGAUUUUUUUUUUCAUUUCAAAAAUUACACCGGUAUUGGUUUUAAUAGAAUAUGAACGAUUUUUCCUAAUUUCAUUGUGUAUACUUUAACAAAUUUUUUACAAAUCUUUCUUUUGUAAACAUUGAACGGGCAGGUUUUCGAUUUGAUCCAAACAUUCAAUAUAUCGCAUCUGUUCAAAUCGGUCAGAUGUCAGUAGUUUGUCAAUAUUGCCAGGGUUAUGUUGCGCGGGGGGAAAGACGUCGCAUUCCAUGUAUAAUACCGAGGCAUCUCCGAGUAAAGCAAUGUUCUCGCGAACGGAUCACUGGCGCAAGUUGCAAAGAAACUUGUUAAAGUGGUUGCUGGUGGUUUUUCCAUUCGCUGUACUAUGUUCUCUGCUUUGAAAUAAACUCGCUGGCCAUUCUCCAAAUGAGCUGCCAGAUGCACAACAGUAGGAUGGCGUUCAUGAAUUGCAAAUGAAAAUAUUCUCCAGAUUGCUUCAUUGCAGUUCACAUAUCUGCCCAUUUGAAAUUUGCUAAUUUCAUCUCGUUCAACGCCAAUAACCGCCAUAUCGCUUCCUUUGGUGACAUAUUUGCAAACAUACUUAAUUGAUUUUAUUGAACUGCAAUACUCAACAUUUAUAUGUGUUUUGAAUGCCUUAGACAAAAUUGCCGAAUAUGGAACGCUCCAUGUGUUAUCAACCAUGAAAUUCUUUCCUUUCAAUUGAGUGAUGAAUUUUCUGCCAUUAUCAGAGGGUGAGCGACGCCGAUAGAGAGGGUAUCCGUCGUUUCCAGUUUAAGUUUCCGAAAUAAAAGCACGGGGACAGCGUUUUUUGCAUUUACUGUCCGACAUACAAACCGAAGAUGGAUCGUGUUCUCCGCAUGGCCCAUGAACCAUAUUGGCCAUCACCACUUCGUGCAACUCUGGAUCUAUUUCAACAUCAGGAAUUUCGGCGGAUUUGGUCAGGUGUAAUUUUCUCCACCAUCCAAAGAAGAAUGUGUGCGUGGGGCAAACCUCUCUUCUGCCACUCCAAUGAGUACAUCCAGCAUCGAACAGUGCCAUAUACACGUUGUUUCGUAAUAAAGUCCAUCAAACAUCUGAGUUUUUGUUUAAACACGCGUGCUGUAACAUCGUGGCGAUCGCUUUGUGAUUGACCGGGAUGCAAUAGAUUCGUAAUGUCUGGCCAUUUUGGAUUGCAAGUUAAUGUAACAAACAAAUCCGGCCGUCCAUAAUUGCGCACGUAAGUCAUCGCAUCCUGGGAGUACUCAUGCAUGUGUCUAGGACUGCCAAUGUAUGUCGAUGGCAAAAUAUAGAGUCGACCAAUAUCUGUAAUAUCCGCAUCACCAUUCAUUGCAUCUCUUAAGUGAAUAUACUCUUCAGAUCGCAACUUCGACUGAUUGUAUUGCAUGUAAUUAAGUCGUUCUGUCUCAACUUUAACAUACAUGUCAACUGCAUACUGUUGAAAUAACCGUCCAUAUCUCAGUAAAUGGUUGUCAUAGUUUUGGCGAAUCAUCAUUCGAUAUGCGUAAAACUUCAUUGAACUGACUUUUUUAUUUGUCUCGACACCUAAAAGCUUAAAUUACCCAUAUGAAGUAGCUAACAAACAUUUUGUUUUACUAACCAUUCACCGGAUUUAUCAUCUUAUAUCCUAAGUGAUAUCCGUCUUCUCUACGGCAGAACAUGAGUAGAUAUUGCAUUGCGUCGUAAGACCGAUGUGUCUCACUUAUCCGUUUUAGUGCGUUUUAAUUUCUACGUUUUAUAACAAUAUCACGCGACUGCAAAUUUUCUCCAACAACAACAACUGAUAUUUCGCUAACUGUAGGUGCAUUAUAUUGUCUUUCAUGUGACCCUGUUGGUCUUUUGUCCGCUUGUAUGAUUAUACUAUGAUCAUCUGUUGGCAUACGUUCCAACGAAAUCGUAAACAGUUUAAUGAGGCCAUUGUGUUCGUGUAACAUUUGCUGCAAUUGUUCGAUUAUUUCUCUUUUCGUUGUAUUGAAGAUAGCACAACGCCGAUUUACUUCAUCAUGUGAAUCUCCCAGAAAGUAAAUUUGGAGAUAUUUGUAUUCUUGAUCUGGAUGCGGCAACAGCGAUCCAGCGAGAUGAAACAUUUGCCCAUGAACGUGUAUAAUUGGAGGAAAGCUCUGUAGUUUCUGUCGAAUAUUGUUUGGCAAAAAUACCUUAAACGUUGGAUUGUAGUUUUGUUCAUUUACAAUUUGCUUUAAGAAAUGGCUCGAGUGAGGAGAUUCACCGUAAAGCAGCUGGAACAAUGGCUGUGGUGGUGGAAGCAAUUCUGGCAACGGUUCAUUUUUAAAUUUGACUGCAUUGCAAUAUUGACAAACUACUGACAUCUGACCGAUUUGAACAGAUGCGCUAUAUUGAAUGUUUGGAUCAUAUCGAAAACCUGCCCGUUCAAAGUUCACAAAAGAAAGAUGUUGCCGCUGUUGUCGUCGAAUAAUCGCAUGUUGUGAUCUUACUUCAUCACUUUGGCGAGCACGAACUUCCUUUCUUCUCGAUCGUUGUUGCUGAUUAUGAACUUCCCUUCUUCUCAAUCGUUCUUGCUGAUUGUAUGUUUGGUUGACAUCUUCUAACUGGUGCGUGCUACUCUCCAGCAGUCUAUUUCGUGGUGAUACCCUCUCAAUAACACUUUCCCUUUGACGUGCUCUGCUAUUUCGUGUUCUCCUUGCGGCCUGGGAACUCCGAGAAGUGUUACCAUACGUACUGAUUCUUGACGUCGUAACAAAUAUCUAAUUGGAAACGAUCAUUCAUUUGCAAAAAGUUCAUAUAAGGUUUUACGGACCAAUAACUUACCUUUGAAAAUUCCAAAAAUGAAUGAAUUAAACUAAGGAAGCAGAUCAAUUGAAUGAUAAAUUCCAAUGUACAUAAAUCGGUAUUCGCCAACACGCUAAAUCACUUUCACUAAAUAACUCACUUUUUAAAACAAAAUAUAUCAAUAUAUCAGUAAAGCAAGGCACAUUUUUAUUGCCCUCUAAAUUUUGCGUGUUCGAUUGCAAAGCAAAAUUGACGUUUAAUUUAAUUUGUGUUUGUUUCAUAAAACUGCCAUUUCCAUAAACCAAAAAUAGCACGUAACACAACCAAAAUUACCAUAUAACCGCUGCAGCAAGAACAACCAAAUUGUCGUGCUAGGUGGAAAAUGAGAUAAAUAUAUGGUGGAUUAACAACCAAAAUAAUUAAAGAUUGUAAGGGAGGUACCACGUCCCCUUUUUCGAUAACGCCAAGUUUUAUGGGUGAGAAUGGUGUUGUGUCCUAUAGCUCUAUACCAAUUUUCAUGUUCCUACCUUAAACACUUUUGAAGAUAUUCACCUUGAAAAGUUCAGUUUGUAUGGGAGGUGCCACGCCCCCUUAAUAUUUUAUUCUGAUUUUAAGACAUGACCUGCGCGUGGUAAUAACAAACAAAUCCCCCAAAGGAAGUAUUUCAUUUGGUUCAGCCGUUUUCGAGUUUUAGCGUUACAACUAUACACCAUUUCAUUUUUAUAUAUAUAGAUAAGAGAAGAAAAGAACUACCCACAAUAUACUAAGUAAACGGAGCAGGUAGCAGCAUAACCAAAAAAUAUAUAACCACAACAUAAUUUGAUAUUUAGAGUGGUGUUGUGCUACUUUAUACUGACCUUUACCGAAAUUUUAAGUUUUUAUGCCCAACAUGCCUCCUAAAGGAAGCACACAGCCGACGCACAUGUGUGGCAAAUGCAAUUCCAUCGUUCAUGCUAAAUCACCAAGUGUAUUAUGUACUGGCUGCCGUAUAUGGACUCAUUCUAAAUGCACUGGGCUCACUAGACCUGAAUUCACUGAACUAGCCAAUAAUAUCAAGUUGCAAGGCUUCGAAUGGAAAUGUGACCCCUGUAAAUUAGAGGUUAGUGUUGUCACCGAAGACGACCCUAAAUCCGAUAGCGAUGAUGAUGACAAUAUAACUAUGUGCAAGUUAAAAAGUCUGCUUGAUGCCUAAUAUUCUAAACUUGUUGCCUCGUUCGACAGCAAAUUCAAUAGUUUUAAGUCUUCCAUCGAAAAGAAUAUUGUUGACAUUAGGAAGGAUGUCUCGAACCUAACCAAGAAGCACAAGCAUACGGUCGACAAAUGUACUGGGCUUGAAAGCAGACUGAAAACUAUUGAAGGUAAGCUCAAAGACUUCUCUAAUGUUCUUGCUCCAGCAGAAGAUGUCUUCGCUGAACGUAAGAGAUGUGAAUCGAACGUCGUCUUGUUAAAUGUCACUGAAUCAACGAAAGCAGACGGUAAAGACCGUCUUGAAGACGACAGAGCUAAUAUCCUCUCAGUUCUGCCUCCGGACUUGACUGGUAACGUGGACCAGUUUAAGAUUCGUCGUUUGGGCCGCCCAUCUCUCGGGCGCAAUUGUCCACUUCUCGUUGAAACUCCAUCUCCAACUGUAGCGCGAGCAAUACUCAAAUCUAAACCGCUGGAACCCGCUGCUGGUUCUAAUAAAGUGAUCUUUAAAUCUGAUCUCACUCCAUCUCAGCUAAACCACCUCAAGAACCUCCGAGCGCAGUUAAAUACCUUAACGAAGAAUGGUGAUACAUCUAAGACUAUAAAGUAUGUCAAUGGUGUUCCUAAAUUAGUAGAUAAAAAUUUUCGCUCGAUCAUCGAUAAGGGAAACACAAUUUAGUCUGCAAGUCCAUUACCAGAACGUAAGAGGCCUUUGAACCAAGCUCAGUGAUUUUAUCUCUGCGACGUCAACUAGUCACAUCGAUGCCUUCUGUAUUUCUGAGACAUGGCUUCAUCCUAGUAUUCACGACGGGGAGGUAUUAGACGACACAUUUAACAUUUUCAGGCAAGACAGAAUAAUUCCACAAGUAUCAGUGAACGCGGUGGUGGUGUCCUCAUAGCAUUAAAAAAGUAUUUCCAUGCUGAGCGCAUCCACAUCCCCGAUGAUAGCCUAGAACAAAUAUAUGUGAAAAUUAAGUGCUGUAACUCUAAUAUCAUCGUUGGAUGUGUUUAUAUUAUGUAUUUAUAUAUGAUAACCUCAAUAAUUUUUAUCUAAACACAGAUUAGUCUAAUCUCUACUCAUUGUUCUCCAUAGACAGCAAAAUCAAAGUUGUCUACGACAUAAUACAUGUUGGUAUCUCAACCUAUGUUCCUGCUGGUAUACCGAAAAACAGUCUCUUUCCUCGUUGGUUUCCAAGUGAACUGAAACAUAAAACGCUACUCAAGAAAAAAGCUCACGCUACCUUUAAGAAACACAAAACUAGUCCGAACUCUAGUAAGUUUUGUGGGCUCAGGCGUGAAUGCAAGCAACUCAGUGCUGAAUGCUACAACAACUACAUAAAAGUCAAAAAGUCAGUCAAAGUCGAACUACGGGUCCAAGAGAACACUGAUGCUUUCUGGCAUUUGGCAAGAACAAAAGAAGAUGCAGCAGCGAUUUCCCAUCAACCAUGUCCUGGAACAACUGUACAGCCACCUCAGGCUUGGAGAUCAGCAAUAUGUUCGCAUCCUUCUUCAAAAGUGUAUACAUUCAGGGUCACCCAAUAAUGAGCCUGCAACUAUUAAUAUUUUAGAUGAGUUUGCUGUCAGUAUCAGUGAAGUCCACAAAUGUCUAAUGUCUUUGAAUACCAAGAAAGGAGCUGGUCCUGAUGGCCUACCAAACAUCUUUUUCAAAAGAUGUGCCACCAGCCUCAGUGAACACCUCACACAUAUCUUCAGUUUCUCGCUUCACAAUGGUACUUUCCCUACUGAUUGGAAGAUCUCUUUUGUGUGUCCUAUUCAUAAGGACGGCCCAAAAGCAGAUGUCUCCAACUAUAGGCCAAUUUGCAUUCAAUCUGCUCUUGCUAAACUCUUUGAAAAGAUAGUUCUUCCUCAACUGACUGCUUUCUUCUCAAACAUCAUCACCAGUAAACAACAUGGAUUCGUCGGUGGGAGAUCGACUACCUCCAACCUGUUCAUCUACGUCAAUUACCUGCUUGAAUCUCUAAACAACGAUAAAGUAAUUCAUUCCAUCUACACAUACUUUAGCAAAGCCUUCGAUAGAGUGGAUCACAACAUCUUACUGAGUAAACUAAGCAAGCAUGGCAUCCAAGGUAACGCAUUUAACUGGUUAUAGUCGUAUUUGAUUGGUAGGCAAUUCCAAGUGAAAGUUGAUGGUAACCUCUCUAUCAAGCAUGACGUAACAUCUGGGGUGCCGCAAUGUUCGCAUUUGGGUCCCACUCUUUUUAAUAUAUUUGUUAAUGACAUUGGUGAUUUCUUCAGAUCUGACUAUCUGCUUUAUGCAGAUGACCUAAAGUUAUUCAGAGCUAUAUCUUGCGAACCAGAUACGGUUACUCUCCAAAGUGACAUUGAUACACUCUCGACCUGGUGCCACAAGAAUAAACUUGAUCUGAAUAUCAAAAAGUGCUCUGUCAUAUCAUUUUCUCGGUCGCACUCAUGCACUCCACCUAAUUACAACCUAAAUAAUGAGGCAAUAAACGUAGUUGAACAAGUAACGGACCUAGGCAUACUCAUCGACAACAAAUUGACGUUCAGCAAACACAUCGACAAGAUCGGUCCUGAUGGAAUCAACAUGCUAAUGUUAAAGCAUCUAGGAUCGACGGAAGUAAAAUAUCUCACCAAGGUCCUCAACCUGUCGCUCACCAUUCUUCAAAUACCCGAUGUGUGGAAAGUCGGAAGAGUGGUCCCACUACUGAAACCUUGGAAAUCCGCCAACAAAGGGGAAUCUUAUCGUCCGAUAACUCUCCUCUCCCCAGUAGUGAAGACACUUGAGGCCUUGUUACUCCCGACCUUCACUCACCACCUGAGCCUAGCUAGCCACCAGCAUGGAUUCCGCAAAGUGCACAGCACCACCACAGCACUUAGGGUCAUAAACGCCCAGAUAGUUCGUGGCCUCAACCAGAAACCACCCUGCGAAAGAACGAUCCUCGUAGCGUUGGACCUGUCAAAAGCUUUUGACACGGUCAAUCUAACAACGCUACUGCAGGACAUCGAAAAGACCACUCUCCCUCCAGGGCUAAAGAGGUGGACCAUGAACUAUUUGAGCGGUCGUCAGUCAUCCGUACUAUUUCGAGGUGAAACAUCCAAACUAAGAAGAAUUAAACAGGGGGUUCCGCAGGGUGGUGUCCUCUCCCCGCUACUGUUUAAUUUCUAUAUCUCGAAACUUCCCCAACCACCAGAGGGAGUUUCCAUGACCUCGUACGCAGAUGACUGCACGAUAUUGACGUCGGGCAAUGGAGUCGAUGGCAUGUGUUCGAAAGUAAACGGCUACCUCUCCGACCUUUCUCGUUUCCUCACUGCACGAAAUCUCCAACUUUCACCCACCAAAUCCACAGCGACCUUAUUCACAAACUGGACGAAGUAGUAUAGACUUGAACUUAAUAUUGCAGUCGAUGGCGUCAAAAUUCCGACUGUCAAUAACGCUAAGAUUUUAGUCGUAAUCCUCGAUAGUCUUGCUCCUUCUCUCCCCAUACGACCGCGAUUAUCGCCAAGGUACAGAGCCGCAACAAAAUCCUCAAAUCGCUAGCCGGCAGCACAUGGGGAAAAGACAAAGAAACGUUGCUGGCAACUUACAAGGUAAUCGGCCGGCUGGUCCUCAACUAUGCAGCACCAAUAUGGUCGCCUGGAUGCAGUGGUACGCAGAUGAGGAAACUUCAGACCUGUCAGAAUACAGCACUCCGGACCACGACGGGAUGCCUCUUGAUGUCUUCCAUUGAACACCUCCACAGUGAGACGCGCACGCUACCAGUAAAGGAGCAUAAUCUACUCCUCUCCAGGCAGUUCCUGCUGGGUUGUUUCCGUAGGAAUAACCCUUACAGCCACCUGCUUGGAGCGGAACCACUUCCCAAGAGCAUCAAGAGGUCAUGCCUCGACUAUGUCGACAACAUCGAACAGUACGCUGACCAGACUUCGGACGCAACAAACUUUCGACAGGCACUGACCGUCAUUCACAGUGGAGCCAUCAACACCUUCACCGAUUCCCUCCCGUGAAUGGCGUUCUUGGAGCCAAACCACCACCUAUUGCAGACGAAGAGCUCCAGUUGCCGCGAGAAACGCGAGUGACCCUAGCGCAACUUCGUUUUGGAUACUGUAGCAGGUUAAACUCCUACUUAUCCAGAAUAGACCCCGACGUAUCCAAUAUAUGUCCUGCAUGCAAUGAGUCUCCGCAUGACAUUGGUCACUUCUUUGCAUGCCGCCCCCACCCCCACCAAUCUAACACCCCUUCCCCUUCGGUCCGACCCCGUCGAAACAGCACGUUUCCUGGGCCUACCGCUAGAUAACGUCGACGACAGCGUGGAUAACCCUUACAAUCCUAACGGGGACUAAUAACCGUUAAAACAACAACAGUCGCUCAUUAUUCCCGUUCCGCUAUAUGGUGCAGAGGAAUGGACGAUGACAACAUCUGAUCAGCUGGCCCUAGAGUUUUGGAAAGAAGGUUUCUGUGAAAUAUUUAUGGUCCUUUGCGCAUUGGCCACGGCGAAUAUCGCAUUCGAUGGAAUGAUGAGCUGUAUGAGAUAUAUGACGACAUUGACAUAAAUAGUUCAGUGAAUCAAGAGACAGCGGCUGCGCUGGUUAGGUCAUGUCGCACAUAGGUUUCUGCUAGUGCAUACUGCGGCUAAAAAUAUAAGGAGUUGUCGCAGGACAAUGACAUUUGGUACAUCAUUGUUUUGGAUUCCAAUCAAGAAAAAAAUGAAAAAAAUUUUUUAAAAAAUUUUAUUUUACGCCCACCCUUCUCUUUUAUCAAGUCUCUUUUAGCAACUCUUUUACAUCUUCGUGACAUUCUGACAUUGUUUUUUUCAAGGGGGGCAAUUUGGGGCAGCUGAAUUUUUUUUUUAUCGUUUAGCUGAGACUUCAGGCUUUAAUUCGGUAUAUGUAUGUCGACAGCGGUAGACAGCGCUAAAAGGAUGCACCACUUUGAAUUUGAAGAACAUUGAAAUUUUGACGUCCAAAUUAUGUUGUUCCACAAAAUUUUUUAUGCAUAAUUUUUUUCAAUGGAUUUUGAUGCAAAUUUUUUCUUUGGGUAUUUCUGGACAAAAAACUAAUGCAGAUAGAAUCCUAAUACUUUGGGAAAAUAAUGUAUAAAUAGUUGGUAACAAACUGUGAAAUUUUCAUUCAAAUCAGACAACAUGAAAUUUUUGAAUUUCGGCCACAGAUAUCCCAAUGUGUGUCGUUCGUAUGAACGAUAACGCUCCAGCUCACAAAGUAUUCGACGCAAUACCCGCCGAAGGAAGCAGAGGAAGAGGAAGAAAUCCAUUCCCUUGGAAAAAAGAUAAAAUCGGGUCGAUACUUCCCCAACUCCCAUAUACUUAGUAUAAAGAUUUUAAUUUUUCUAACAAAUCGAAUGCCGAAUUUGUCGGUUAGUGUAUAUAUAGGGUAGUCUUUUCGUAUUUCUUAUCAAACUUCUACUUAUCUUUUUGACUCCACUUUUCGUCUACUGCUACCAUUCGCUUCAGAAUUGGUUCGAUUUCAUUUCGUUUCGGGAAAGAAUUCGGUGCAUUAAAUUUUUUACAGACAAUUCACGUGGUACCCAAACAUCGAGCUUCUUCUUGUAGCCAGCAUUUUUUAAAUGGUUCAAAACCGUUUGAUGAUGAAUGUUAAGUUCCUCAUGUGACGGUUCUGGUCAAUUCCAUAAUUUCAUCGUAUUUUUCAACGAUAGGUCGACUCGAGUGAGGAGAUUCACCGUAAAGCAGAUGGAACAAUGGCUGUGGUGGUGGAAGCAAUUCUGGCAACGGUUCAUUUUUAAAUUUGACUGCAUUGCAAUAUUGACAAACUACUGACAUCUGACCGAUUUGAACAGAUGCGCUAUAUUGAAUGUUUGGAUCAUAUCGAAAACCUGCCCGUUCAAAGUUCACAAAAGAAAGAUGUUGCCGCUGUUGUCGUCGAAUAAUCGCAUGUUGUGAUCUUACUUCAUCACUUUGGCGAGCACGAACUUCCUUUCUUCUCGAUCGUUGUUGCUGAUUGUGAACUUCCUUUCUUGUCAAUCGUUCUUGCUGAUUGUAUGUUUGGUUGACAUCUUCUAACUGGUGCGUGCUACUCUCCAGCAGUCUAUUUCGUGGUGAUAUCUUCUCAAUAACACUUUCCCUUUGACGUGCUCUGCUAUUUCGUGUUCUCCUUGCGGCCUGGGAACUCCGAGAAGUGUUACCAUACGUACUGAUUCUAACAAAUAUCUAAUUGGAAAUGAUCAUUCAUUUGCAAAAAGUUCAUAUAAGGUUUUACGGACCAAUAACUUACCUUUGAAAAUUCCAAAAAUGAAUGAAUUAAACUAAGGAAGCAGAUCAAUUGAAUGAUAAAUUCCAAUGUACAUAAAUCGGUAUUCGCCAACACGCUAAAUCACUUUCACUAAAUAACUCACUUUUUAAAACAAAAUAUAUCAAUAUAUCAGUAAAGCAAGGCACAUUUUUAUUGCCCUCUAAAUUUUGCGUGUUCGAUUGCAAAGCAAAAUUGACGUUUAAUUUAAUUUGUGUUUGUUUCAUAAAACUGUCAUUUCCAUAAACCAAAAAUAGCACGUAACACAACCAAAAUUACCAUAUAACCGCUGCAGCAAGAACAACCAAAAUGUCGUGCUAGGUGGAAAAUGAGAUAAAUAUAUGGUGGAUUAACAACCAAAAUAAUUAAAGAUUGUAAGGGAGGUACCACGUCCCUUUUUCGAUAACGCCAAGUUUUAUGGGUGAGAACGGUGUUGUUUCCUAUAGCUCUAUACCAAUUUUCAUGUUCCUACCUUAAACACUUUUGAAGAUAUUCACCUUGAAAAGUUCAGUUUGUAUGGGAGGUGCCACGCCCCCUUAAUAUUUUAUUCUGAUUUUAAGACAUGACCUGCGCGUGGUAAUAACAAACAAAUCCCCCAAAGGAAGUAUUUCAUUUGGUUCAGCCGUUUUCGAGUUUUAGCGUUACAACUAUACACCAUUUCAUUUUUAUAUAUAUAGAUAAGAGAAGAAAAGAACUACCCACAAUAUACUAAGUAAAUGGAGCAGGUAGCAGCAUAACCAAAAAAUAUAUAACCACAACAUAAUUUGAUAUUUAGAGUGGUGUUGUGCUACUUUAUACUGACCUUUACCGAAAUUUUAAGUUUUUAUGCCCAACAUGCCUCCUAAAGGAAGCACACAGCCGACGCACAUGUGUGGCAAAUGCAAUUCCAUCGUUCAUGCUAAAUCACCAAGUGUAUUAUGUACUGGCUGCCGUAUAUGGACUCAUUCUAAAUGCACUGGGCUCACUAGACCUGAAUUCACUGAAUUAGCCAAUAAUAUCAAGUUGCAAGGCUUCGAAUGGAAAUGUGACCCCUGUAAAUUAGAGGUUAGUGUUGUCACCGAAGACGACCCUAAAUCCGAUAGCGAUGAUGAUGACAAUAUAACUAUGUGCAAGUUAAAAAGUCUGCUUGAUGCCUAAUAUUCUAAACUUGUUGCCUCGUUCGACAGCAAAAGAAUAUUGUUGACAUUAGGAAGGAUGUCUCGAACCUAACCAAGAAGCACAAGCAUACGGUCGACAAAUGUACUGGGCUUGAAAGCAGACUGAAAACUAUUGAAGGUAAGCUCAAAGACUUCUCUAAUGUUCUUGCUCCAGCAGAAGAUGUCUUCGCUGAACGUAAGAGAUGUGAAUCGAACGUCGUCUUGUUAAAUGUCACUGAAUCAGCGAAAGCAGACGGUAAAGACCGUCUUGAAGAGGACAGAGCUAAUAUCCUCUCAGUUUUGCCUCCGGACUUGACUGGUAACGUGGACCAGUUUAAGAUUCGUCGUUUGGGCCUCCCAUCUCUCGGGCGCAAUUGUCCACUUCUCGUUGAAACUCCAUCUCCAACUGUAGCGCGCGCAAUACUCAAAUCUAAACCGCUGGAACCCGCUGCUGGUUCUAAUAAAGUGAUCUUUAAAUUUGAUCUCACUCCAUCUCAGCUAAACCACCUCAAGAACCUCCGAGCGCAGUUAAAUACCUUAACGAAGAAUGGUGAUACAUCUAAGACUAUAAAGUAUGUCAAUGGUGUUCCUAAAUUAGUAGAUAAAAAUUUUCGCUCGAUCAUCGAUAAGGGAAACACAAUUUAGUCUGCAAGUCCAUUACCAGAACGUAAGAGGCCUUUGAACUAAGCUCAGUGAUUUUAUCUCUGCGACGUCAACUAGUCACAUCGAUGCCUUCUGUAUUUCUGAGACAUGGCUUCAUCCUAGUAUUCACGACGGGGAGGUAUUAGACGACACAUUUAACAUUUUCAGGCAAGACAGAAUAAUUCCACAAGUAUCAGUGAACGCGGUGGUGGUGUCCUCAUAGCAUUAAAAAAGUAUUUCCAUGCUGAGCGCAUCCACAUCCCCGAUGAUAGCCUAGAACAAAUAUAUGUGAAAAUUAAGUGCUGUAACUCUAAUAUCAUCGUUGGAUGUGUUUAUAUUAUCUAUAUAUAUAUAAAAGAAAGUUGAUGUUAGUUACACCAUUUAUAACUCAAGAACGGCUGAACCGAUUUGGCUCAAAAUUGGUGGAGAGGUAGCUUAGAAUCAGGGUAAGGACAUAGGAUACCUUUUAUCUCUUUAUGUCAAAAUUUAAUACAACUCAUAAAUACAAAAAUUAUAUUUUAAAUCAUAAGCAUUUGUUCAAAAUUUAUGUUUGUAGGAAUCAUUUAAAUAUAUGCGUACAAUUUUAAACAGUCUUCUCAAAAAUAAUACAAUUGCUAAAUAUUUGGAAUAGAAGAAAAGAACUGCAACCAAAUACGCAGUAUAAUAGAUUAUAACUGGUUCAGUAAUCAGUCGUUGAGUAUGUAUUAUAGCACGUGCUUCCCAAAAGGCUGAUGUCAUAACCUUUCCCGCCGUCUUUUUCGUUUUUGCUCGCCUGAGAACCGGUUCAUCAUGUGCAGUCCACUACAAUGACUGUCGAUUGGACUCCAGUGGGAAAUGAUGGAGCUAUGUUUCUAUCACUGACGAAAAAUUUCGGCUUUAUUCUUUAGAGAGCACUUAAACACUUCUCAGAAUCAGUUAUUCGUCGUUUUUGUUGGAUUAUGAACUUGCGAGGCACCUACUUUGCUCAUUUCGCCUGUUUCCAGGUUAGCAAAUAUCUUUUCAACGGUGGAUUUCCCUGAGCCCAAAUUCAACAGUAUUUUCCCCAAAAAGCCAAAUGCUUUAUUAACACACGAAAUGAUUUAUAAUCCAUUUUUUUGUAAACUAACACAAGUUGCUUCACAAAAUAUUAUAUCUCAUUAACUAAUAGUUAUAAUCCAACUAAUAGAAAUCAUAUAGAUGGUAGUAGUAUUAUCUAUGUAUCAGCCACAGUGAAGCGUGGACGGGUCCUCUAGUGUAUUUAUAUAUGAUAACCUCAAUAAUUUUUAUCUAAACACAGAUUAGUCUAAUCUCUACUCAUCGUUCUCCAUAGACAGCAAAAUCAAAGUUGUCUACGACAUAAUACAUGUUGGUAUCUCAACCUAUGUUCCUGCUGGUAUACCGAAAAACAGUCUCUUUCCUCGUUGGUUUCCAAGUGAACUGAAACAUAAAACGCUACUCAAGAAAAAAGCUCACGCUACCUUUAAGAAACACAAAACUAGUCCGAACUCUAGUAAGUUUAGUGGGCUCAGGCGUGAAUGCAAGCAACUCAGUGCUGAAUGCUACAACAACUACAUAAAAGUCAAAAAGUCAGUCAAAGUCGAACUACGGGUCCAAGAGAACACUGAUGCUUUCUGGCAUUUGGCAAGAACAAAAGAAGAUGCAGCAGCGAUUUCCCAUCAACCAUGUCCUGGAACAACUGUACAGCCACCUCAGGCUUGGAGAUCAGCAAUAUGUUCGCAUCCUUCUUCAAAAGUGUAUACAUUCAGGGUCACCCAAUAAUGAGCCUGCAACUAUUAAUAUUUUAGAUGAGUUUGCUGUCAGUAUCAGUGAAGUCCACAAAUGUCUAAUGUCUUUGAAUACCAAGAAAGGAGCUGGUCCUGAUGGCCUACCAAACAUCUUUUUCAAAAGAUGUGCCACCAGCCUCAGUGAACACCUCACACAUAUCUUCAGUUUCUCGCUUCACAAUGGUACUUUCCCUACUGAUUGGAAGAUCUCUUUUGUGUGUCCUAUUCAUAAGGACGGCCCAAAAGCAGAUGUCUCCAACUAUAGGCCAAUUUGCAUUCAAUCUGCUCUUGCUAAACUCUUUGAAAAGAUAGUUCUUCCUCAACUGACUGCUUUCUUCUCAAACAUCAUCACCAGUAAACAACAUGGAUUCGUCGGUGGGAGAUCGACUACCUCCAACCUGUUCAUCUACGUCAAUUACCUGCUUGAAUCUCUAAACAACGAUAAAGUAAUUCAUUCCAUCUACACAGACUUUCGCAAAGCCUUCGAUAGAGUGGAUCACAACAUCUUACUGAGUAAACUAAGCAAGCAUGACAUCCAAGGUAACGCAUUUAACUGGUUAUAGUCGUAUUUGAUUGGUAGGCAAUUCCAAGUGAAAGUUGAUGGUAACCUCUCUAUCAAGCAUGACGUAACAUCUGGGGUGCCGCAAUGUUCGCAUUUGGGUCCCACUCUUUUUAAUAUAUUUGUUAAUGACAUUGGUGAUUUCUUCAGAUCUGACUAUCUGCUUUAUGCAGAUGACCUAAAGUUAUUCAGAGCCAUAUCUUGCGAACCAGAUACGGUUACUCUCCAAAGUGACAUUGAUACACUCUCGACCUGGUGCCACAAGAAUAAACUUGAUCUGAAUAUCAAAAAGUGCUCUGUCAUAUCAUUUUCUCGGUCGCACUCAUGCACUCCACCUAAUUACAACCUAAAUAAUGAGGCAAUAAACGUAGUUGAACAAGUAACGGACCUAGGCAUACUCAUCGACAACAAAUUGACGUUCAGCAAACACAUCGACAAGAUCGGUCCUGAUGGAAUCAACAUGCUAAUGUUAAAGCAUCUAGGAUCGACGGGAGUAAAAUAUCUCACCAAGGUCCUCAACCUGUCGCUCACCAUUCUUCAAAUACCCGAUGUGUGGAAAGUCGGAAGAGUGGUCCCACUACUGAAACCUUGGAAAUCCGCCAACAAAGGGGAAUCUUAUCGUCCGAUAACUCUCCUCUCCCCAGUAGUGAAGACACUUGAGGCCUUGUUACUCCCGAUCUUCACUCACCACCUGAGCCUAGCUAGCCACCAGCAUGGAUUCCGCAAAGUGCACAGCACCACCACAGCACUUAGGGUCAUAAACGCCCAGAUAGUUCGUGGCCUCAACCAGAAACCACCCUGCGAAAGAACGAUCCUCGUAGCGUUGGACCUGUCAAAAGCUUUUGACACGGUCAAUCUAACAACGCUACUGCAGGACAUCGAAAAGACCACUCUCCCUCCAGGGCUAAAGAGGUGGACCAUGAACUAUUUGAGCGGUCGUCAGUCAUCCGUACUAUUUCGAGGUGAAACAUCCAAACUAAGAAGAAUUAAACAGGGGGUUCCGCAGGGUGGUGUCCUCUUCCCGCUACUGUUUAAUUUCUAUAUCUCGAAACUUUCCCAACCACCAGAGGGAGUUUCCAUAACCUCGUACGCAGAUGACUGCACGAUAUUGACGUCGGGCAAUGGAGUCGAUGGCAUGUGUUCGAAAGUAAACGGCUACCUCUCCGACCUUUCUCGUUUCCUCACUGCACGAAAUCUCCAACUUUCACCCACCAAAUCCACAGCGACCUUAUUCACAAACUGGACGAAGUAGUAUAGACUUGAACUUAAUAUUGCAGUCGAUGGCGUCAAAAUUCCGACUGUCAAUAACGCUAAGAUUUUAGUCGUAAUCCUCGAUAGUCUUGCUCCUUCUCUCCCCAUACGACCGCGAUUAUCGCCAAGGUACAGAGCCGCAACAAAAUCCUCAAAUCGCUAGCCGGCAGCACAUGGGGAAAAGACAAAGAAACGUUGCUGGCAACUUACAAGGUAAUCGGCCGGCUGGUCCUCAACUAUGCAGCACCAAUAUGGUCGCCUGGAUGCAGUGGUACGCAGAUGAGGAAACUUCAGACCUGUCAGAAUACAGCACUCCGGACCACGACGGGAUGCCUCUUGAUGUCUCCCAUUGAACACCUCCACAGUGAGACGCGCACGCUACCAGUAAAGGAGCAUAAUCUACUCCUCUCCAGGCAGUUCCUGCUGGGUUGUUUCCGUAGGAAUCACCCUUACAGCCACCUGCUUGGAGCGGAACCACCUCCCAGGAGCAUCAAGAGGUCAUGCCUCGACUAUGUCGACAACAUCGAACAGUACGCUGACCAGACUUCGGACGCAACAAACUUUCGACAGGCACUGACCGUCAUUCACAGUGGAGCCAUCAACACCUUCACCGAUUCCCUCCCGUGAAUGGCGUUCUUGGAGUCAAACCACCACCUAUUGCAGACGAAGAGCUCCAGUUGCCGCGAGAAACGCGAGUGACCCUAGCGCAACUUCGUUUUGGAUACUGUAGCAGGUUAAACUCCUACUUAUCCAGAAUAGACCCCGACGUAUCCAAUAUAUAUCCUGCAUGCAAUGAGUCUCCGCAUGACAUUGGUCACUUCUUUGCAUGCCGCAUGAUCGCGUAAAUGGGCACCUUUAGCUUUGACAGCUAAAUGCACUCUUUUUUCGACAUUUUCCAUGACUUUGGCCAAUGUUUCGGAUGAUAUGGCGGCUGUUUCACGUCGAAUGUUGGCUUUCAGUUGAGCUAAGGUCUUUGGCUUAUUAGCGUAUACCUUGGAUUUCAAAUAACCCCACAAAUAAAAGUCUGGUGGCGUCAAAUCUGGUGAUCUCGGUGGCCAGUCAACAUCACCAUUUUUCGAUAUCAAUCGCCCGGGGAAAAAUGGUCGCAAUAAAUUGAUUGUUGGUCGAGCUGUAUGGCAUGUAGCCCCGUCCUGUUGAAACCAGAAGUUAUCCAUGUCAUUUUCGCGAAUAAUGGGUAUCACAAAAUCCGUUAUCAUGGCUCGAUAACGCUCACCAUUGACUGUUGUCGUGGCUCCAUCAUCGUCUUCGAAAAAAUACGGUCCGAUGAUCAUAUUCGCGCAAACACCGCACCAAACUGUUACUUUUUGGUCGUAAAGAGGCUGUUCUUCAAUUAAUUGAGAAUUUUCGGUGGCAUAAAAUCGGCAAUUUUGCUUGUUUACGCCUCCAUUCAACGAGAAAUGUUUUUUGCGAAACGCACGUUGAGUUAACACAAUUGAAAAGUUAUUUUGAAUAUAAAGCUGAACAAUUUCAGCGGGUUCUUUUGGAGUGUACUGUUCCAUGGUAUAAAUUGUCUUCGAAUGACGCUUCUAACGCGGUAUGACAUUAGCCGAUUUGUCAGCGCUGUUAAAAGUUACAGCGUUGCCAGAUGGGUCAACUUUAAAUGGCCUACCCUGUAGUUCAGUGAAUCAAGAGACAGCGGCUGCGCUGGUUAGGUCAUGUCGCACAUAGGUUUCUGCUAGUGCAUACUGCGGCUAAAAAUAUAAGGAGUUGUCGCAGGACAAUGACAUUUGGUACAUCAUUGUUUUGGAUUCCAAUCAAGAAAAAAAUGAAAAAAAUUUUUUAAAAAAUUUUAUUUUACGCCCACCUCCUAUAUAAGGUGAAACUUAAUUUUUGACCUACAGCACUGAUUUUUGAUACAUAGCAUUUUUAUGACAUUAUAUAUCUUGGUGUUAAAUUUAAAUAAUAUCCGCCCUCUUUUACGCCCACCUCCCAUACAACUAAAUUCUCUUUUAUCAAGUCUCUUUUAGCAACUCUUUUACAUCUUCGUGACAUUCUGACAUUGUUUUUUUCAAGGGGGGCAAUUUGGGGCAGCUGAAUUUUUUUUUAUCGUUUAGCUGAGACUUCAGGCUUUAAUUCGGUAUAUGUAUGUCGACAGCGGUAGACAGCGCUAAAAAGAUGCACCACUUUGAAUUUGAAGAACAUUGAAAUUUUGACGUCCAAAUUAUGUUGUUCCACAAAAUUUUUUAUGCAUAAUUUUUUUCAAUGGAUUUUGAUGCAAAUUUUUUCUUUGGGUAUUUCUGGACAAAAAACUAAUGCAGAUAGAAUCCUAAUACUUUGGGAAAAUAAUGUAUAAAUAGUUGGUAACAAACUGUGAAAUUUUCAUUCAAAUCAGACAACAUGAAAUUUUUGAAUUUCGGCCACAGAUAUCCCAAUGUGUGUCGUUCGUAUGAACGAUAACGCUCCAGCUCACAAAGUAUUCGACGCAAUACCCGCCGAAGGAAGCAGAGGAAGAGGAAGAAAUCCAUUCCCUUGGAAAAAAAGAUAAAAUCGGGUCGAUACUUCCCCAACUCCCAUAUACUUAGUAUAAAGAUUUUAAUUUUUCUAACAAAUCGAAUGCCGAAUUUGUCGGUUAGUGUAUAUAUAGGGUAGUCUUUUCGUAUUUCUUAUCAAACUUCUACUUAUCUUUUUGACUCCACUUUUCGUCUACUGCUACCAUUCGCUUCAGAAUUGGUUCGAUUUCAUUGCGUUUCGGGAAAGAAUUCGGUGCAUUAAAUUUUUUACAGACAAUUCACGUGGUACCCAAACAUCGAGCUUCUUCUUGUAGCCAGCAUUUUUUAAAUGGUUCAAAACCGUUUGAUGAUGAAUGUUAAGUUCCUCAUGUGACGGUUCUGGUCAAUUCCAUAAUUUCAUCGUAUUUUUCAACGAUAGGUCGACCAGAGCAAGGUGCAUCUUUCACAUCGACAUUCCCAGAAUGGGAAUGGUGGCUUGCGUAGAAUUCUUCCAUUUUGUAUACAAAAAUUUCGAAAUAUGGCGAAUUUCUUCUUUUUUUUACUCAUUUUUGAACAGCUGUAACUUUUUCAACUUACCGGAGUUUAAUUAAUUAUUCAAAUAACAUGAAUUUUAAACACAUUUUUAUGAUUUGAAGUAUUAUUUUGCUGAUUUUGAAUUGUAUUGAUUUUAACUUAAAGAUAUAAAAAGUAUCCUAUGUUCGUACCCUGGUUCUAAGCUACCUUCCCUAAGAAAAUUAAAAACAAAAAAAAAAAGACAAUUAACGGUGUUCAACGUAACUCGGCAGGAAAUUAUUCAAAUUAUAAUCUUUCUUCCCAAAGUCCUUUGACAGUUUUAUAUUUCGAAUUUGGCGGCCACUUGAAGUGUAAACUGUUAUUUUCCACUAAAAAUUCCUUCGUUUUGUAGGGGGAAAACACCCUUAACACAUAGAGUACCAUGACUCCUAAUACUUCGUGGGGUGCCAAGUCGCACGAAUGUGUACAACGGAGGAUGUUUCGCAUUCCACCUUAUCGUGCGCAUUCGUGUGUCAUUACUUGAAAGUUUUUAUGUUAGGCUGAUGUUUGCAGAAAAAUUUGGUCCAAUUUUCAUAGCGCUAGAAUAAUUUUUGUUUGUUUUAUUAUAAAAUCUCUGAGGUACAUUUUGUGUUUGAUUAUUCUCAGUGUAAAUAUUAGUUUUUAAGGUGCGUAUAUUUUGGAAAACAAUCGAUACAUAAUUGGGGUGUAUUGGGACAUUGUGGGCAAUAAUCAAUAAAAAAUCAUCACUCGUUUCCAAAGUCUUCAAUAUUUCACUUUCUGUAACCUUUCGCUUCGUCAUUUUUAACUAAUUCUUACAAAUCAAUCUAAAGAAUUAAAAUAAAAAAGUAAAGCCAAAAUAAAAUCAAAAUAAAACUAAUAAAUACAAAGUAAACAGCGCGGCGUACGAAAACAAUUAUAAAACCCAAAGUAAACAAUAAAACAGAUCGGGAAUGGCUCGGAUAUAAAUAUAUAUUACUUUUACAUCGCUUUAUAACAAAAACCCACCUUGGGAUCCGGAGAAGAGUUUUGUCAAAUCCGCUUGGCACUUAAUGUGUUAAUGUAAACAAAAAAAUUUCAAAACGUUGGGGCGGUAUUUUAUGUGUUAAAAAUGUGUACAAAGUUUGAAAUGAAUCGGUCAAGUUGUUUUGAAAUGACAGUGAAUACGCUCUAGUAGUUUUGAGAAAAAGUUGUCUAAAAUUUAUGAACUAAAAAAGUGACGAAACACAAUAUUGUCCUAUAUUGUCAAAAGUGUGCUCAAUAAUGUACAAAAGGUACUUUGAAAUCCUUAAAAAAUAAAUAAUGUGACUUAUAUUAUGAAGUGCUUAGUAUUUUUAUACUCUCGCAACAAAGUUGCUAAGGAGAGUAUCAUAGUUUUGUUCACAUAACGGUUGUUUGUACGGGUUGGAUUUAGUUUAGUAUCUCAUUUUCACUGCUUAUUCCUCUUAAAUGCGUGCACGGAUUUUUUUAAAUUUAUAUAGCACGGAUAGCCAAUGAAUUAAACUUUGGUUUAAAUGUAAAUUUAUUGUUAAAUGUUAAUUUGUUUUUUAGAUAUAAGUAAGCAAAAAACGCACAUUUUCACAUUUGCUCAAACAAUGGCUCUCUUCUUUUGACGUUUUUGUUGCACUGCUUGCAAAAAAUUUAACCAAUUUAACACACACACAUUCUUUGAAAUAUAUUUAAUUGAAUUAAUGAUAAAUUAUGGAUUUUAAGUUGCAAUUUUAUAUACAAUUUAAUAAGUAAAACAGCUUUCAAUUACGUGUUAUAUUGUUCCUUGAAAUGUAAGCAAAAUUACUGAAUAUGAACUGUCAAACGACGAAGAAAAUAAGCACAAAAGGAAGAUAGUAAUAAUCCAACGAAUCAAAAUGGUAGGUCUUAUAUACUGCGGCGCUUGUUUCAAUGUAAUAUAUGUAUUAUAUUCAAAAUAUAAUGAAAAUUUGGAAUAAAAAAUCGCGCGAUUUUUUAUUUCAAAUUUUCGCCUGCGGCGCUUGUUUCAAUGUAUGUAGUAUAUUAUGCUGAAAAUAUAUUCAAAAUUUGAAUAAAAAAGAUCGCGCGAUGAAAACCCAAAUUUAUUAUUUAGGGGUCUUGUAUAAAUGGUUGGUUGGGUUAUCUUGGUACUUCAACUACUUGCAUGCAUUAUUACCGAUGCAUAUACAAUUUUUAAUUUUCAGUGUUUUUAUUAUUUAAAUAAAGUGGAUUUCCACUUUAAUUCAUUGAAAUAAUAAAAAUAAUAAACAUAAAGUCACUCUAUGCGUAAAAAUACAUAAAUUUUAUAAUAAUUAGUGAAAAUUAUAUGGAAAAACUACGAUUUUACACCAUUUUCAAGAGGCUGCCCUAGAGCCCCCCGUGGUCCUAAGGGGGGAAGGGUGCUAUUAUUCAGAAGCUCCAUUCAUUACCUUUCAAAUGAGAGGGGUAGCAAGCCCCCAGCCCCCUCCCCCUUUGCGCAAAGCCUCUUCCAAAUGGGAUACUAAACUAAACAUUCCCCGUUUGUACGUCCUAAAACUAAAAGAGUCAGAUAUAGGGUUAUGUAUACCAAAGUGAUCAGGGUGACGAGUAGAGUUGAAAUCCUGAUGUCUGUCUGCCCGUCCGUCCGUGCAAGCUGUAACUUGAGUAGAAAUUGAAACUUAGUACACGUAUUUCUUAGCUCCAUAAGAAGGUUAAGUUCGAAGAUGGGCAAAAUCGGCCCACUGCCACGCCCACAAAAUGGCGAAAACCUAUAAAGUGUCAUAACUAAGCCAUAAAUAAAGAUAUUAAAAUGAAAUUUGGCGCAAAGGAUCGCAUUAGGGAGGGGCAUAUUGGACGUAAUUUUUUUGGAAAAGUGGGCGUGGCCCCGCCCCCUACUAAGUUUUUUGUACAUAUCUCGGAAACUACUAUUGCUAUGUCAACCAAACUUUAUAGAGUAGUUUCCUUCAGGCAUUUCCAUAUACAGUUCAAAAAUGGAAGAAAUCGGAUAAUAACCACGCCCACCUCCCAUACAAAGGUUAUGUUGAAAAUCACUAAAAGUACGUUAACCGAUUAACAAAAAACGUCAGAAACACUAAAUUUUACGGAAGAAAUGGCAGAAGGAAGCUGCACCCAGGCUUUUUUUUUUUAAAUUUAACCUUCAAGCGGGCGCGCGGUCAUUUGUAACGGGAGCGGGCGCGCGUAACCGAAAAGACGUUUGGGAUGAAUAAAAGAAAUAAAGCACUAAUUAUUCAGUAAUUAUUUAUUUAUUUGUACUUAGAUAUAUUAUCAUUGUUCUUAAAGU